rnacentral:lncRNA from 1 species
UGCUAUCUUCCUUCCUCUCUUUCAGGUGACAGAACCAUCCUUGUUGUUUUAGAUCCUUUCAGAAGGUGCUCACAUGGGAACCUAGGGAGAGGAGAGUCUCCCCCAUCCCCAACACCAAGGCAAGAGCUGUGCAGAGGGAGAGGUUCACUUUGCAAAUCAGCUGGGAAGGGAGAUGCAGGACCUGGAGGCCCAGCAUCUCCCAGUUCCAUCUCCCAGUUCCAUCUCCCUGGAAAAUCAUCCACAGACUACUUACGUGGAAUAAGCAUUUGUCUUUAACUUCUAACUGCCUGUUCUCUCUCUGAAAGUGAAACUGAAUCAUGCAGAAUUUAUAAAGUAGUUCAGGGACAGUCACUUUGGGGCCCUUUUAAAAUAAGGUGACCUAUAUUGUAUAUAAUUAAACCUGGAGUGGAGUUGCAUGUUGAAAAUGCUUUUAACCUAAUGAAUGUUUCUUUUUUUUUAUCAGACCACAGAAAAAUCCCCAAAGUAAAGGAGGAAAAAUUCUGUAUUUAUGAAACACCCUCUUUGUGCCGCUAUAUUUUGUGAGAAGUAGACAAUAUGGAGAAAAAUACAUGGCCAAGAGAAGAAUCUUCUCUUCCAAUGGAAAAGAUAUUUUUGUAUCAAAACAAAGUAAUGGUGAAGUCCAUUACUUUUCUAAGCUCAGGAAAAACCCUAUGUCCUUUGAACUUCUGGUAUUAUCUUCUAGUAUUAUCUGUAUUUUCUGAUAUAAUCACCAUUAUUUUUGCCUAAAAAAAAAUCAACUUUUUUGUAACCCAGAAGCUGACCUGUUACAUUUUGUCCAGAAGAAAGUAUCCUCAGAUGCAGUACUUCAUAUGUUCCUUCACGCUCUGAUAAUGUUUUAGCACCAAGAGAGGGGGUACCCAAACAGGUGAUAAGAAUUGUUCAAUACAAACCAUGUAAUGAAUUUCCACAUCCAUUAAGAGAGUCUGGACCCCUCCAGAGCUAAAGGAUUAAGGGAAGAUGCUGGAGAAUGAGAUUGACCCAAUUGUGUGCAUGUAUGAAUAUGGCAUAAUAAUCUCCACUAUUAUGUAUAAUUAUAAUGCACUAGUGAUAAAUAAAUUUUAAAAAGAGCUAAAGAAUUAAAGAUCUUGGGCUGGGGAUGUAACUCAGUGGUAGAGCACUUGUCUGGUAUGCAUGAGGCCCUAAGUUCCUUCCCCAGC